UGCAGAAGGUGUCGUGCACGAACGAGGACGGCUGGUCUGUUGCCCUGGCCGAGUACAUCCGCCACAGCGACCAGCCCAUGCUGGAGUUGGGAGACAAGCUGCUCAGGAACUUCGAGGAGCAACUGCUGCCGUGCCAGUCGUUCGCAGAGUAUUGCGAUGUCAUGGGUCUGCUUUGUGAAAUUUCGAACCCAGAUGCCUUCCUGUCAGAGUCUCUUCAGCUAAGGGUUUAAUCUUAAUUUUAAUAUUGAAGGUUUAUUUAAUAAACACAUUGUUUGAACUUUUCUUGA